CCGAGUUUACAACUCCCAGACCCAAUGUGAACGUUACCAAACUGUUGCCUCGGCGGGAUCUCUGCCCCGGGUGCGUCGCAGCCCCGGACCAAGGCGCCCGCCGGAGGACCAACCAAAACUCUUAUUGUAUACCCCCUCGCGGGUUUUUUUUUGUAAUCUGAGCCUUCUCGGCGCCUCUCGUAGGCGUUUCGAAAAUGAAUCA
rnacentral:misc_RNA from 1 species